rnacentral:tRNA from 1 species
GGUCUAAUAGUGUAGAGGUUAGCACAUGGGAUUUUGAUCAUGAGUAAUUUCAUAGUUGUAUAUUCCCAUAACCCAGGUUCGAGUCCUGGUUAGACCU